GAUGAACGCUGGCGGCAUGCCUAAUACAUGCAAGUCGAGCGAACAGAUAAGGAGCUUGCUCCUUUGACGUUAGCGGCGGACGGGUGAGUAACACGUGGGUAACCUACCUAUAAGACUGGAAUAACUCCGGGAAACCGGGGCUAAUGCCGGAUAACAUUUAGAACCGCAUGGUUCUAAAGUGAAAGAUGGUUUUGCUAUCACUUAUAGAUGGACCCGCGCCGUAUUAGCUAGUUGGUAAGGUAACGGCUUACCAAGGCAACGAUACGUAGCCGACCUGAGAGGGUGAUCGGCCACACUGGAACUGAGACACGGUCCAGACUCCUACGGGAGGCAGCAGUAGGGAAUCUUCCGCAAUGGGCGAAAGCCUGACGGAGCAACGCCGCGUGAGUGAUGAAGGUCUUCGGAUCGUAAAACUCUGUUAUUAGGGAAGAACAAAUGUGUAAGUAACUGUGCACGUCUUGACGGUACCUAAUCAGAAAGCCACGGCUAACUACGUG
rnacentral:rRNA from 1 species